rnacentral:lncRNA from 1 species
CGCCCCUAUUCGACCAUUGGGAUACCUGAUAUCAGAUUAUGGCUGAACAACAGACAAUUAAUCAAAUGAAAACUAUAUUUUAUUCACAAAUGUACAGUAAUUGCAUGAAUAUUAAACAAAGUCGGAAAUAAACAGGAGUCAGAAAACUUUCUAAACUGAAGUUCAAAAAUAAAGUAAUUUCAAAUGUAAAAAUGAAAAUGAAGUGUUCCCAGAAUUAGUCUUUUAAGUAAAAUAAAGUUUGCUUCGCGUUGUGUUAUUUAAGGUAGUAAAAUUGCACCAAAAAGGGGUGACUAACUCUGGCGAACUGCACCGAAGUGGUGGCUAACUCUGAACUCGGGUGGGCUGCUGAGUCCGGCGAGUAUUUGGAGGCCUGUGCAAGGCCGACUCCGACUGAAUAUCAAAUGAUAUCCUAAACUUGUCAUUAAACAGGCUAACUUUAACAUAAAAGGUACUGAAGAAAAGUUAAAAAAAAUUAAUAUUCUUAAAACAUUAUAAAAACAUCAAAGUUAAAUACUAAAACAGUUAAAUUAACAUUCUUUACUUU